rnacentral:rRNA from 1 species
UACGAAGGGGGCUAGCGUUGCUCGGAAUCACUGGGCGUAAAGGGUGCGUAGGCGGGUCUUUAAGUCAGGGGUGAAAUCCUGGAGCUCAACUCCAGAACUGCCUUUGAUACUGAGGAUCUUGAGUUCGGGAGAGGUGAGUGGAACUGCGAGUGUAGAGGUGAAAUUCGUAGAUAUUCGCAAGAACACCAGUGGCGAAGGCGGCUCACUGGCCCGAUACCUGACGCUGAGGCACGAAAAGCGUGGGGGAGCAAACAGG